UAAGGGCCGUGUCCAGCUCGUGUCGUGAGAUGUUGGGUUAAGUCCCGCAACGAGCGCAACCCUUAUUGUUAGUUGCCAUCAUUUAGUUGGGCACUCUAGCAAGACUGCCGGUGACAAACCGGAGGAAGGUGGGGAUGACGUCAAAUCAUCAUGCCCCUUAUGACCUGGGCUACACACGUGCUACAAUGGGAAGUACAACGAGUCGCAAAGUCGCGAGGCUAAGCUAAUCUCUUAAAGCUUCUCUCAGUUCGGAUUGUAGGCUGCAACUCGCCUACAUGAAGCCGGAAUCGCUAGUAAUCGCGGAUCAGCACGCCGCGGUGAAUACGUUCCCGGGCCUUGUACACACCGCCCGUCACACCACGAGAGUUUGUAACAAACGAAGUCGGUGGGGUAACCUUACGGAGCGGCGCAUGCUACAACUUUUCCCG
rnacentral:rRNA from 1 species